UGUCCAAUGCGGGAAUCGAACCCGGGUCGUAGGAGUCGAAAACCAACGGUUUAGACCAUCCUUCCACUGACCCCCAUUAAUUAAAC